UGGGGAAUAUUGCACAAUGGGCGCAAGCCUGAUGCAGCCAUGCCGCGUGUAUGAAGAAGGCCUUCGGGUUGUAAAGUACUUUCAGCGGGGAGGAAGGGAGUAAAGUUAAUACCUUUUCUCAUUGACGUUACCCGCAGAAGAAGCACCGGCUAACUCCGUGCCAGCAGCCGCGGUAAUACGGAGGGUGCAAGCGUUAAUCGGAAUUACUGGGCGUAAAGCGCACGCAGGCGGUUUGUUAAGUCAGAUGUGAAAUCCCCGGGCUCAACCUGGGAACUGCAUCUGAUGAUGGCAAGCUUGAGUCUCGUAGAGGGGGGUAGCAUGCCAGGUGUAGCGGUGAAAUGCGUAGAGAUCUGGGGGAAUACCGGUGGCGAAGGCGGACCCCUGGACAAAGACUGACGCUCAGGUGCGAAAGCGUGGGGAGCAAACAGG
rnacentral:rRNA from 1 species